CAGCCGCCGCGGGAAUACGUAGGGUGCAAGCGUUGUUCGGAAUUACUGGGCGUAAAGCGCACGUAGGCGGCUUGGUAAGUUAGAGGUGAAAGCCCGGAGCUCAACUCCGGAAUUGCCUUUAAGACUGCCGAGCUAGUAGGUGAGAGAGGUAAGUGGAAUUCCGAGUGUAGAGGUGAAAUUCGUAGAUAUUCGGAAGAACACCAGUGGCGAAGGCGGCUUACUGACCCAUUCUAGACGCUGAGGUGCGAAAGCGUGGGGAGCAAACAGGAUUAGAUACCCCUGUAGUCCCUGUCUCUUAUAC
rnacentral:rRNA from 1 species